rnacentral:lncRNA from 1 species
UUUUAAAGUGUUUUCUCUAGAAUGUCACCUUGGGCUACAAAUUAAUCUUUAAUCUAUUUGUCUAUAUUUGUUGACUUACUACUAUACACAGAACAUUAACUUGGUCCUGGAGAUUGAGUGAUGAGUAAUGUGCUCUACUUGCUUUAAAGGGCAUAUAGUCCAGCAGGAUACAGAGACACAAGUAAACAGGUCAUGCAAACAGUUCCUCUGGCAGCAUUUUAGAGGUGUCAACCCAACAAUUCUACCAC